GACAUUAAAUUUCUAGACAUGACAAGUGAUAGUUUCACCUCUAUAUUAUUCAGAAAACUUGAACAUGAAGAACAAAGAUAAAUCCUAUAUUUUACCAAUCUCACCCAAUUUUAACAUUCAAACAAAUAAAUCUUGGAAGUCCUAACUGCAUGACUAUCUGCAAUAUCUCCUGCAAAUCCACUUUAAUAGCCCAGCCCCAAGAGAAAAAUGGCUACUUAAACCAAUAAUGAAAUUCUAAAACCAAAUACUCGUUAACACAGAUUUCAUAAGGAACAAAAUACGUAGUCAUUAACAUUGUGACAGAAUAAAACCAAACAGAAACAUCAUGCACACAUCACUGUGUAGACUAAAAUUCCGGCAGAUCUUCAUUCAAUAUCAAGAUACACAAGGAAGGAUCAUUAAAAUUUAAUUAAGAACUAACCCAAAAUCCCUUUGGUGAUCUCUAGAUCGGCAAUGUUCCGGACUAGAUCCACAUUUUAUUCCCAAAAUCCAAGUAAAGGAGAUCAAACCCUACCCAAAACAGAGAACUGGAACUGAAGCUAACGAACGAAAACCCUGACGAACUCGAACUCGACAGCAAACGAACCCAACUUCAGCGGCUCGAACCACGACCAAACAACUGCUCGUACUUGAACGAUCUGAAAGUUAUUUACAAGGUGUGGCUGCUGAUGUGUACGUUUGACCAUAAAUAAAAAAGGGGGUUAGUGUUCACUAGCUUCUGUCCGGUGGUCAUUUUUGGUGUUCGAUUUUGUGAAGAAGAUGAAUUUCAGCCCGGGCGGGGAGGGGGGGGUGGGUCUUUUGUCCCAUGCAGCUAUUUUUUAGUCUUUGGUCCUUCUCCUGUGUGCUGAUGGCUUAGGUCCCUUUUAGUAUAUGGAAUUAGGUCUAAACUUUAG
rnacentral:lncRNA from 1 species